UUUUGGUGCAUGGGUUACAGUUGGUUGAGCUUUGGGAAGUGUAGGGUCGCGUGCAAAAGAGGGUGGUGACAGUUUAAGUGGGGCGUGGACCGUAGAUGGUUGCCACGUGUUUGCAAGUGCGACUUUUAUGGGUGAUUUAGUUGGGUUUAUCUUUAAUGAGUUAAGAGGAAUAUUGGAAGUCUCAGAAUGUGAAGUAUAGUUUGGGAAGAGAGUUGGGAGGUCGUGGGUUGGUACUGGUGGGUUCUCUGGUUCGAGAGGGAAUUUGAAAUGCAACGGUGGAGUUGGGCCGUGAUAAGGUUUUAGAAAGGAGAUGUGGAAGACUGGAUGGAUACAUGAUGACGAGGGAAGGAAAAGUUCAUAUGCCACUUCAUUGAUGCGACAUUUAAUGGGAUAGAGACCAAAGAAUCUUUGUCCAAGCUUAUUGUGAGUCUUGGACGAGAGUGAUGUUUGGCAGUAAGCUUGCCGUCGGAGAAGUACCCAGUCGUUUUCCCUGAAAUUGUAAUCAAGUCUUGAUUUGUUUGUUGAUUCUGCCAUUCUUUGUUGUGUUGUUUUCAGCGUGGCUUUUAAUUGCUGCAGCAUUCGCGCACGCUCCUGUAAUGUGGUAUCCAGUGUUGGUUCUGCGGCAGUUCCUGGAACGUAAUCUGGAAUGGAAGGAGGCGAUCGUCCAUCCAGAGCCUAGAAGGGUGUAAUUUUGAUGGCCGAGUGGUGUGAGGAGUUGUACCAAAACUCCGCAAGGUACAAAUAGCAAUACCAUGUUCGUGGAUUUUCGCUGGUAAAGCACCUAAGGUAAGCUUCUAAACAGCGAUUUAUAACUUCGGUUUGACCGUCAAUUUGGGGGUGAACUUUAAUUUUGUGCCUUGCAGAUGAAACAACUCAUUCCAAACACGGCUCUGGAACACUGGAUCACAGUCUGGAAUGAUGGAUUUAGGGACUCCAUGUAACCUGCAAAUUUCAAUAGAAAAACGGUUAGCUAAAUGGGUGGCUGUGAAGGACGUGGGAAGGCCGAUGAAGUGGGCUGAUUUGGACAGCCUGUCACAGACAUGUUGAACCAAGUGGUGUUCAAGCUUUGAAGAAUCCAAACUCUUUGAAGAAUGAUGAAGGCUGGUUGUGCUUGUUGUUGCUGUGUUGUCUUUUAGAUAGGAUCUGGGGUAGAUUUAAUAUGUAAUCAACUCUUGAUUGAAUCCAAAGCAUAAACACUCUCAAUCCUUUUAAAAGAAAAGUGUUUUUCAAACUAAGUGAAAAACAACCUGUUGUUUUGUCGAAACAACCGAUUGUUUUAUACUUAGGUGUUUUUAGAAAAGGUUGAAAACUGUUUUUCAAAUGGUUGAGCUGUCAAAACCAAAACAACUGAUUGAUUCGUGGAAACAACCGAUUGUUUGUUUUGGUACCAUAACAGAAAAAUGGUUUUAAUGCUUUGACCAAUCUUUAAAUGUAAUUAAUAGUUUGUUAAGAUUUGAUAACAAACAAACAACUUUGUUUUACAAAUAGAAAAAUAGAUUUGGGUUUUUCACAACUUACAGAUUUUGAAAGAGUUGAGAUUGCUUAGAGAUUGAGUUUGAUCAAAGAGUGUGAGAUAGGAUUUUCUGCUUGUAUUGAUUUCAAAUUUGUUCUGUAACAAGGGUAAUCCUUGUAUCUUUUGAAAGAAACCUUGUGUGUUUGCUGAGAAAUGUUGUGUGUUCUUGAGGGGAUCAAGAUCAACAUUCUUAGUGUUGGUGUGUUGACCAAGAGAAGUGUGUGUCUUGAGGGGAUCAAGGUCACUUCUUUGGUUGUGGUGUAAAUGAUCUAGGAUUGAUUGCUUAGUGAAUUCCUCAGUGGUUUCUGAGAAGACUGGAUGUAGCUUUGGGUUUAGAGUGAACCAGUAUAAACAUCUGUGUGCAUUCUCUCUAUCCUUAAUCUCUUUAAAUUCAGUUUUUUAUAUUUGCAAACUGGUAUAAACAACCGAUUGUUUCUGUGAAACAACCAAUUGUUUUUCUGGUGCUGUUGUUUUUGCUUUGUGUUUUGGCAAACUGGAUUCCUUAUCAUUUGUUUCUCGAAGUAAUUUCAUUCUUUGCUUAAAAGUUUGCGAAAAACCUCUUUAAACCAGUCACCCCCCCCUCUAGUUUAAAGCCAUCCAUUCUAACAAUUGGCAUCAAGAGCUUGGUUCUUGAAAGUUAUUCAAGUUGAUCCUAAAACUGUUUUUUAAUGGCUGAUAGAUUACCUUUUGGGGAAGGUGCUUCAAUCAACAGACCACCUCUGUUUUGUGGUUUGAACUACCAAUUUUGGAAAGUGAGAAUGAAAAUCUUUGUGGAAUCACUUGACAAAGGAAUUUGGGAUGCAAUUGAAAAUGGUCCUUUUGUCCCAAUUUUGAAAAAGAUGGAUCUUCCAUUGAAAAGCCUUGGUCUCAAUGGACUGAUUCUGAAAGCAAAAAGGCCAAGUUUGAUUGCAUUGCUAAAAACAUAAUAACCUCUGCUUUGAAUUCAGAUGAGUUUUUCAGGGUCUCUCAAUGCAAAUCAACAAAAGAAAUGUGGGACACCUUGGAGGUAACUCAUGAAGGUACAAAAAAUGAGGUGAAGAGAGCUAGGAAGCAUACUCUAAUCCAAGAGUAUGACAUGUUCAGAAUGUUCAAAGGUGAAACAAUUGCUGAAGUGCAGAAAAGAUUCACGCACAUCAUCAAUCAUCUCAUGAGCCUUGACAAGACCUUUGAAAAGGAAGAGCUAAACAUCAAGAUUUUGAAAUGUCUUGAUAGAGCAUGGCAACCUAAGGUAACUGCUAUAUCCGAAUCCAAAGAUCUAACAUCCUUGAGUAUGGCUUCUUUGUUUGGCAAGCUUAGGGAACAUGAGUUAGAGAUGAAUCGACUCAAUGUUCAAGAAAGCGAAGACAAGCACGUAAGGAGUAUAGCCUUAAAAGCUUCCAAGCACAAAGGCAAACAAGAAUCCAGUGAUGAGGAAAACCUUAGCUUGCUAUCCAGAAAGUUUAGCAAAUUCUUAAAGAGGAACCACAACAAGGAUAACAACAAAGAUAGGUAUGGAAACAAGAAAUCUAAUGAUUUUAAUUCCAAUAACUAUACCUGUUUUGGUUGUGGUGAGCAAAGUCACAUAAAGGCAGAUUGCCCAAACAAAAGCAAGGAGAAAAAGCCUAGCUACAAGGAAAAGAAGAGCAAGACAAAGAGAGCCUACAUAGCUUGGGAUGAGAAUGAGGUAUCAUCAUCAAGCUCUUCAUCAAGUGAAGAAGAGAAAGCAAACAUUUGUUUGAUUGCUGAAGAUGAUGAUGAAUCUUGCAGCUCAAGUGAAGUAAGUUCUUGUGCUUCUUUAAAUGAACAAAAUUAUAGUGAAUUGCUUGAAACUUUUCAAGAAACUCACGAUGAAGCUAAUUGAUUGGUGCUUAAAAACAACUGAAUGAAAGAACUUAACAGCUGGCUAGAAAAGAGAGUGAAAGAACUUGAAGAUGAGAUUGAAAAAUCUAAAAAGGAUUUCAAAAAUCUGGAAACACAUUUCAAAAAUUCUUCUUGCAAGUGUGACACUCAUAUUUGCGAAAAUUGUGAAAACCUUGAGAAGAAAGUGCAUUAUCUUGUUAAUACUGUGGACAAGCUUUCGAAAGGGAAAUCUAACUUUGAGAAUGUCUUGGCAUCUCAAAGCUGUGUUUUUGGAAAGGCUGGUUUAGGUUUUAAUCCACAAAACCAACAAGAUAACUUUUCAAUUUUUUUUUUAAGAAAGCCAGUAAAACAACUGAUUGUUAAGUCGAAACAACCGGUUGUUACAUGCUUUUAUUGCAUGAAAAAGGGCCAUUCGGUUAGAUUCUGCAAAAUAAGAAAGUUUUCUGUUCACAGGGGCUUCAUGAAAUGGAUUCCUAAAGGAUGUGAGGUUCCAAGUGAGAAAAAGAAAUGAUUUGGACCCACAUUUGUGAAGGGGCCAAAUCUUGUUGCUUGAACUCAUGCUUAUGCAGGAAUUCUAAAGAAGUGUGAAGGACUGAGUCAUCUGAUCAAGUUCUUGGAAGAAAAAGACCAACAUUGAAGCUGAAUCAAUGUUUUGUAUCUGUCCAAAGGCCCUCAACAGUUAAAUGAGGCUUCUUGAUCACAAAGCACAUGGCUCAUUGAAAGAACAACAUAAAGGAUAAAACCUUCCUUAUCACUGUUCUUAAUUCCUAUUUUUAAGUUCAUUUUCAUGAUUAUAUAUCCUCUUUAAAAUACUCAAUUUCAUCUGCUUUGAAUUCCUUCUACUCAUGAUUGAAAAUUCAAAAUCAGUUUUAUUGUUGCAGAAAAACAACCGAUUGUUUCCUCGAAACAACCGAUUGUUUUGAGUCUGACAGCACUGUGAAGAUUUCAAUUUAAUUCCUUUUUGAAUUUCUAUCUGUUGCAGAUCAAAUUAAAGAAAGAAUCCUUGGUCAAUGAACCUGUGUUGAAAGCUGAUCACGCUCAGAAAGAAGUUACAACAGUCAUAAAGGAAUAUAUUCCACAAUCUUGAAAAUUUAAGAGCUUUUAUGACUAGUUAAAGAUCACAUGUGAAGACCAUGUGAUUUUCUGCUUUUUCUGACGUUUUCUGUGCAGGGCAUGGUCAAGUAUUCUCUCUAUGAAAAUCUGGUACCCACUCAUGUCAUUGAAUGCUUUAUGAUUCUGUUUUUGCUAUAAAAUCUGUUGCAGCUGAUCUCUUCCACAAGAACAACCAAUUGCAACAUCUCUUGCAAUUCUUGUGUGAGCUUCUCUCUGUUUCUUCUCUGCCAUCAUGGACUCAACUCCUCCCACCUCAAGAAGAGUCAAAUCCAGAGCAGUAAGGUCUGGAGGAAGGCUAGAAGGAUGGUUUUCUAGUGAUAAUGAUCUAAUUGAGAGGUAUAGGUUUAAGACUAGCACCAAAGUGAUAAACAACCCCAAGGUUGUUUGCUUUGAUUGGCUGAAAAGCUAAAAGCUGAACAAUGUCAGAAGGCUCCUCAAAGAUCAAUCCCUCAGAAAGUUCUUGGAGAUGAAGGGGAAUAUCUACCCAGAUUUGAUAAAACUAUUCUACACAAAUCUCAAGUUUGAGGGAAACAACCUUGUUUCUCAUGUAAAAGGUGUAGAUAUGGAGAUCACAUAUGAUGUGUGGACUGCAGUAGCUGGUCUAAAGUACUCUGGCCUCAGAAUCAACAAGGGGAACCUUGGAGUAGUGGAGGAUUUCAGCAAAGUCCAAUACUACAAGAGUUGCUUGAAGAACGAAAAUAUUCAAGUUAGGACUUGUUCGGUUGGCGGCUUAAGGAUUGAUGAAAGGUUGUUGGCCCUAAUUGUGACUUGGAUUUUAACUCCAAGGGGGAGCAAUCAUUCUAUUCUUAUAGAGGAGGACCUGAUGUACAUCUUCUGCAUUAUGAAGAAGAUCAGAAUAAAUUGGAUCCACAUCAUCAAAGAGCACAUGCAAAAGGCAAUGAGGUUAAGUGACUAUCAUUAUCCAUAUGUUGUUUUGGUUUCUAAAUUUCUACUCUAUUUUGAAGUGAACCUAGAAGAUGAAACAUCUGAGUUGGUCAAGUCAACUCAAGAGUUGAACAAUGGAUCUCUUAGUAAAAUGGGAUUCACCAAAGUAGGUGGCAAAUGGAUUAGCAAAGAUGGUGAUCUUGGUGCCUCAUCAAGUGCUGCUGCUGAUCAUGAAGAAGUUGAACAUGCUGAUGAUAUGGAUUUUCAACAUGAAGAUCAACCUGAAGCAAAUCAAGAUGCUGGACCAAGUGUUGGUGCUGGAAAUCAAGAAGAAAGAAUGCCAACCAUGUCUUCUUUUGAGAGAUAUAUGGUCAAUAGGCUUGAUGGCUUUGCGGAGAACCAAAGGAAUCUCCAUGAUCUAUGUGUCUGCAAUUUCCAGAGCAUUGAUAACAGGUUUAAUAGCAUGGAUGCACACUUCAUGACCUUAGAUGAACAGAUUGAGGCAGUUCAGAACCAGAUCUUUGAUCUUCAAUACGCUGAUGAUGAGUAAAAAGGAAAAACAACCGGUUGAUGUAUCGAAACAACCGAUUGUUUUUGGUAUUUGUAUCAGUUUUUCUGUUUUUAGCUUCUAUUGUUUAAAUCUGAUGUAUUAAGAACAAUUAUCUUUUUCAUCUCUUCUUUUUGUGUAUUUGUGAAGACAAAUAGGGGGAGAUUUAUGUUGUGUUUGGUUUUAAUUAUCUUUUUCAGCAAAACAGUCUGUAUGGGUGAAACCUUAUAGGUUUUUGCUCUUUUUUGUUUUGUUUUUUGCUCUGAUAUUAUGCUCUGAAUUUCUAUUUUUGUUUAUGUGCUAACCAAAUAUCAGAAGUUCUAUGCUUUGCUUAAAACUCUGUCUUGCAGGAACUGUUUCAGAUUCAAUCAGAUAUAACACAAGCAUAAGGGAUUUGUCUUCAUCAAAUAGGGGGAGAUUGUUGAACCAAGUGGUGUUCAAGGCCUUUGAAGGAUAAUGAAAGCUGGUUGUGCUUGUUGUUGCUGUGUUGUCUUUUAGAUAGGAUCUGGGUAGAUUUAAUAUGCAAUCCACUCCUGAUUGAAUCCAAAGCAUAAGCACUCUCAAUCCUUUUAAAAUAAAAGUGUUUUUCAAACUAAGUGAAAAACAACUUGUUGUUUUGUCGAAACAACCGAUUGUUUUAUACUUAGGUGUUUUUAGAAAAGGUUGAAAACUGUUUUUCAAAUGGUUGAGCUAUCAAAACAAAACAACCGAUUGAUUCGUGGAAACAACCAAUUGUUUGUUUUGGUACCAUAACAAAAAAAUGGUUUGUGCUUUGACUGAGCAUUAAAUGUUUUUCCAACUGUUUACACUCCAUUUUUUAAUGCUUUGACCAAUCUUUAAAUGCAAUUAAUAGUUUGGUAAGAUUUGAUAACAAUCAAACAACUUUGUUUUACAAAUAGAAAAACAGAUUUGGGUUUUUCACAACUUACAGAUUUUGAAAGAGUUGAGAUUGCUUAGAAAUUGAGUUUGAUCAAAGAGUGUGAGAUAAGAUUUUCUGCUUGUAUUGAUUUCAGAUUUGUUAUGUAACAAGUGUAAUCCUUGUAUCUGUUGAAAGAAACCUUGUGUGCUUGCUGAGAAGUGUUGUGUGUUUUUGAGGGGAUCAAGAUCAACAUUCUUAGUGUUGUUGUGUUGACCAAGAGAAGUGUGUGUCUUGAGGGGAUCAAGGUCACUUCUUUGGUUGUG
rnacentral:lncRNA from 1 species